rnacentral:rRNA from 1 species
UCUUAGUGGCGGACGGGUGAGUAACGCGUGGGUAACCUGCCUUAUACAGGGGGAUAACACUUAGAAACAGGUGCUAAUACCGCAUAAGCGCACGGGGCUGCAUGGCCCAGUGUGAAAAACUCCGGUGGUAUAAGAUGGACCCGCGUCUGAUUAGCUUGUUGGCGGGGUAACGGCCCACCAAGGCGACGAUCAGUAGCCGGCCUGAGAGGGUGGACGGCCACAUUGGGACUGAGACACGGCCCAAACUCCUACGGAAGGCAGCAG